rnacentral:rRNA from 1 species
UUCCGGUUGAUCCUGCCGGAGGUCACUGCUAUUGGGAUUCGACUAAGCCAUGCGAGUCGAGAGGGUUCGGCCCUCGGCUGACGGCUCAGUAACACGUGGAUAAUCUGCCCUUAGGUGGAGGAUAAUCUCGGGAAACUGAGGAUAAUACUCCAUAGAUCUAGGAUGCUGGAAUGCAUCUAGAUUGAAAGCUCCGGCGCCUAAGGAUGAGUCUGCGGACUAUCAGGUUGUAGUCAGGGUAAAGACCUGACUAGCCUACGACGGAUACGGGUUGUGAGAGCAAUAACCCGGAGACGAUAUCUGAGACACGAUAUCGGGCCCUACGGGGCGCAGCAGGCGCGAAAACUUCACACUGUGCGGAAGCGCGAUGAGGGAAUCCCAAGUGUUUGCUCGUAAGAGUAAACUGUUUCUUUGUUUAAAACGCAGAGAGAGUAAGGGCUGGGUAAGACGGGUGCCAGCCGCCGCGGUAAUACCUGCAGCUCAAGUGGUGAUCAUUAUUAUUGGGCCUAAAACGUCCGUAGCCGGUUUAGUAAAUGCCUGGGUAAAUCGUGUAGCUUAACUAUACGACUUCCGGGUAGACUACUAAACUUGAGACCGGGUGAGGCUAGAGGUACUCCUGGGGUAGAGGUGAAAUUCUGUAAUCCUAGGGGGACCACCAGUGGCGAAGGCGUCUAGCUAGAACGGGUCUGACGGUGAGGGACGAAGCCCUGGGGCACAAACCGGAUUAGAUACCCGGGUAGUCCAGGGUGUAAACGCUGCUUGCUUGAUGUUAGUUGGGCUCCGAGCCCAACUAGUGUCGGAGAGAAGUUGUUAAGCAAGCUGCCUGGGAAGUACGGUCGCAAGGCUGAAACUUAAAGGAAUUGGCGGGGGAGCACAGCAACGGGUGGAGCGUGCGGUUUAAUUGGAUUCAACGCCGGG